rnacentral:lncRNA from 1 species
AGCACAGCUGGGAAUGAGCCUAAGGAAGGAAUUAUUACACUAUAAUGAAAGGAAAGAAUAAACAAAAAUAUAAACAACUUUAAAGAUGCAGUGGCAAGAAGCUGAGAAGUAAAGUGGUUUCAUUUUCAAUUUCUUGAAAUGAACAAAUUUAGUAAUCAAUAUUUGUUGAUUAUUUUUUUGUCUAAAUAGGGUGAUUAGAUUCAUCUAAUAGUUGACAUUGAUAAUAUCUUCCCAGUCUGCAGAUGCAAAAAAUGCCUCAAAGACAGUUUGUCCAACAACUCACAGCCAGCAAGUGUCAGAAUCAAAGACGUGAAUCCAGAGUCUCUAUGCUAUGUUUCUUUGCAGUCCCUCCAGCAAAGUGGAAGCAGCAGUUCUCUGCUAUUUAAUAUCUAAAAAUAAAUAAAGGUCUGUAGACUCAUUUUCUACAGGCAAGAGAGGACAAGAGAGAUUGGAGUAUGCUCUGCAAACAGACUUGAGGAGAAAUCGAAGGAUAGAAAGGAAGCUGACAGCUUCAAAGAAUGAAUGGCCAGUGGAUUUUCUAGGAGGGAAGAAAAGAGUAACAUCACAAAACACAGAAUGCAGAAGCAGAUACAAGAAUCAACCUGUGCACCUUUAUCUUUCUUGGUAUCCUCAUUUCAAAGUGACCAGAAGUCUAGAAAGGGUAUUUCCCAGAAUCCCCAGCCAUCAGGUCUGGGUUAGAGUCCACUCCAAGCAAAGACCACAAAGUUUGAAAGAAGUAGAAACCAUUAUUUUUUGCCUAGUAAGGGACUCAAUGGGCUUCAAUAAAGUGAUUCUUUGCAGCUUCUUCAGAUGCAAUAGUUCAUCUGGUGCAGUGGUGAGCGGAGAUCAUGAAUGGGAGGGAGUUCCCUGUGAUUCCUGGAGGCUCCUAAUCCUUGCACGGCUUGUGAUAAAACUGAGUGAUGGUGAAGUGUUUUUCGCAAUCACUGCUCCUCCAGCCCUUCCUAUGUAUUUUUAAGUCACUAGUUCACUGCAUUAAAUUUCUUCCUGCUUGAAAUACUGUAGUUUUCUUGUUGUUGUUGUUGUUGUUUUGUUGUUGUUG